rnacentral:rRNA from 1 species
UACGUAGGGGGCUAGCGUUGUCCGGAUUUAUUGGGCGUAAAGAGCGUGUAGGCGGCCAGGUAGGUCUGCUGUGAAAACUUGAGGCUCAACCUCGAGACGUCGGCGGAAACCAUCUGGCUAGAGUCCGGAAGAGGAGAGUGGAAUUCUUGGUGUAGCGGUGAAAUGCGUAGAUAUCAAGAGGAACACCUGCGGCGAAGGCGGGUUGCUGGGCCGACACUGACGCUGAUGCGCGAAAGCUAGGGGAGCGAACGGG